CAGCUCCGAUUCGAGGUGAAAGAUUACGGUGGUCAUUUUUGUUUUGUAAGUUAAGAGGAGGAUGGAGCUACAAGCAGCCUUUACAAACACUAUUAUUUUCCUCGGCUUAUAAAAGGGUGCUCAACUAUUUAAAAAGAGGGGUGUUAAGUGGGUUAAGGCUCGUUUGAUCGCCGGUUGGAAUUUUCUAUCGUUAUCGUAACGGUCGCAAACGGUUGUAAACAAACAAAAUUUAAGCGAAGUUUUUGCUUUUCGUCUCAUUCCGUUUUUGAAUCUUGCGCUGUUCGGAACGUUUUGCCAGUCCAGUCGUUGCUCGGCGCUGCCCUGAGAUAAAGACACAUUCCCAAGUUUCGUAUUUCGUGUGAGCGUAGUAUCCGUGUGCGGUUGUUCCACGAGCAUUGUUCAAGUGUGUGAGUGACCAGCAACAACCUGCAACAACAACAACAGCGUGCAACAAGAGCGUUUGCCACUAAUUAAAUGCUGAAUGGUGUUUCUGUCAAUUGAAUCUGUACGAUACGACUUUUGAUUGAAUUAAAAUACAACAAAUUACACAAAAAGUUAAAACAAAAGCAAAAGCAAAAAAAAAAAACAACAACAACAACAAACAAGCAGCAGCAGCAACACCAUUUCCAAUUAACGGUAAUUAAGCCGGUGAGGUCGCGAUAAUUUUCCUCAUUUUCCUGCUUGUGCGAUAAAAGAUUGUAUUUUUGAAACACACAACACACUCUUUUUAUUUCGGGGAUAAUUAAAACCGAGAGUGGAGUGGAUUCGAGUGGAGUGUGCUGCGUGUGUGUCGCCCCUCCCACAGCCCACUAGUGCAAAAGGGAAACAAUUUUCAUUAAACCGGCGCUAAAAGGAUUACUCACCCGUUCAUCUUCAUCAGGAGAAGGCUCCAAAAACCCUAGCACCGAAAAACGCAUAACCGCAAAAACAAA